rnacentral:rRNA from 1 species
UGGUCUUAGCUUGCUAAGGCCGAUGGCGACCGGCGCACGGGUGAGUAACACGUAUCCAACCUGCCGUCUACUCUUGGACAGCCUUCUGAAAGGAAGAUUAAUACAAGGUGGCAUCAUGAGUCCGCAUGUUCACAUGAUUAAAGGUAUUCCGGUAGACGAUGGGGAUGCGUUCCAUUAGAUAGUAGGCGGGGUAACGGCCCACCUAGUCUUCGAUGGAUAGGGGUUCUGAGAGGAAGGUCCCCCACAUUGGAACUGAGACACGGUCCAAACUCCUACGGGAGGCAGCAGUGAGGAAUAUUGGUCAAUGGGCGAGAGCCUGAACCAGCCAAGUAGCGUGAAGGAUGACUGCCCUAUGGGUUGUAAACUUCUUUUAUACGGGAAUAAAGUGAGGCACGUGUGCCUUUUUGUAUGUACCGUAUGAAUAAGGAUCGGCUAACUCCGUGCCAGCAGCCGCGGUAAUACGGAGGAUCCGAGCGUUAUCCGGAUUUAUUGGGUUUAAAGGGAGCGUAGGCGGA